rnacentral:rRNA from 1 species
GGAUGCGAUCAUACCAGCACUAAAGCACCGGAUCCCAUAAGAACUUUGAAGUUAAGCGUGCUUGGGCGAGAGUAGUACUAGGAUGGGUGACCUCCUGGGAAGUCCUCGUGUUGCAUUCC